rnacentral:rRNA from 1 species
AUUGAACGCUGGCGGCAUGCCUUACACAUGCAAGUCGAACGGUAACAGGUCUUCGGAUGCUGACGAGUGGCGAACGGGUGAGUAAUACAUCGGAACGUGCCUAGUAGUGGGGGAUAACUACUCGAAGGAGUGGCUAAUACCGCAUGAGAUCUACGGAUGAAAGCAGGGGAUCGCAAGACCUUGUGCUACUAGAGCGGCCGAUGGCAGAUUAGGUAGUUGGUGGGAUAAAAGCUUACCAAGCCGACGAUCUGUGGCUGGUCUGAGAGGACGAUCAGCCACACUGGGACUGAGACACGGCCCAGACUCCUACGGGAGGCAGCAGUGGGGAAUUUUGGACAAUGGGCGAAAGCCUGAUCCAGCAAUGCCGCGUGCAGGAUGAAGGCCUUCGGGUUGUAAACUGCUUUUGUACGGAACGAAAAGCUCUGGGUUAAUACCCUGGGGUCAUGACGGUACCGUAAGAAUAAGCACCGGCUAACUACGUGCCAGCCGCCGCCGUAACAC